AUCCCCUGUUUUCAAGUGAGACAGUCGAGAGGGUGGCGGCCACAAAAAUGGCGGAACGAAAACCUUUAUUCUGUUCCUCAAAUGUGUAGUUAUUUCUCUUCUUAAAUCUGGUAAAAUAGCAUGUGAUAGUUUUUGGGUUGUCAGUAGGUAUAGGGAUGUUGUAAAGGUUUAAAAAUAGAGAGCAGAAAUAUCGUUUGCCGUUUCGUUUAGACCCAAAAUGGUGACAACAAGAUGGCGCCGAUGUCAACCCAAUGGCGGCGCAGGAGCCACGAUGUUCGGGCGUUCAUCAUUUCUAGCUGAGUGGGUCUAGCGGCUGCCAUGGCAUCCAACAAUUUACCACGCACGAGAUGGAACGCUAUCACGGCGUUAGGAAAUCAGACAACAAAGAUGGCGGAUGGCUGUCCAUGUCACCAGGGCAGCCUUUUAUAUCGUUGUGGCGGGAUCAUUAGAGAAUGAAGACCGACAGGGACGUGACACUGGAAAGCCAAGAACAUGCUUUGCCUAAACUGUUUCACAUCAACCAAGAGUUCAAAGAUGUGCCACAGGGCGUACAGGUGUAAAUUGUUAGUUGUACUUAGCAAACUCCCAAACGCAAGGGUGUCGCGCUGUGUUUGAGCACCUACAAAGGUAGAGUUAGGUAAAUUUGAGCAUGUGGUAUCCCGCAAUCAGCCAUCGAGAAUAAUUAAUGAUGAAACAUAACGAUUCUGAAGUCAUAAAGAGACAUAAUAGCGAUCAAAAGUCCAAUUCGUGCCUACCGAGGCAUUAAGGAUGUGUGUUAGCGGUGUGUCUAUUUGUAUAAUUACGUUCUCGGCGCAAAGCUAAUUCGGUAUCCACGAAUAAAACACUACACGACAUGAUUCUUUCUCUACCUUUCAGUCGGUCCGUUGACCUAACAAAAACACGACGUGGUGAUUUAGACAGGUGUGUUCGGGCUGUGUGAUUGGAUUUAAAACAACAUGACGAAGCGCGCCAAUGAUGUAUGUUUUCACGUGUUUGCAUGCGAACGCAAAGCUUCCGUUUGUAAAUUGAAUUAAAGAAAAUGUCGUCGAUUGAAA